rnacentral:misc_RNA from 1 species
AUUUUUUGAUAACAUGUGGUACCUGCGAAAACAGCUUUCAGGUUAUUUCGCUAACUGAUGGAAGAAUGGUACAGAGCAUUAGACAACAUAAAGAUGUUGUGAGCUGCAUUUCAGUUACAUCUGAUGGAAGCAUCCUGGCUACUGGAAGUUACGACACAACAGUAAUGAUCUGGGAGAUUGUGCGCAUUAGAACCUCUGAAAAGCGAGUAAAGCACACUCAAGCAGAGGUUCCUCGAAAAGAUUGUAUCAUUGCUGAAGCCCCUUUCCAUAUUUUGUGUGGUCAUGAUGACGUUAUUACAUGCUUGUAUGCAAGUAUUG